rnacentral:misc_RNA from 1 species
GAAAUGCGAUAAGUAAUGUGAAUUGCAGAAUUCAGUGAAUCAUCGAAUCUUUGAACGCACAUUGCGCCUAUUAGUAUUCUAGUAGGCAUGCCUGUUCGAGCGUCAUUUCAACCCUCAAGCUCUGCUUGGUGUUGGGUGUUUGUCCCGUCUCCGCGCGUGGACUCGCCCCAAAGUGAUUGGCAGCCGGCGUACUGGUCCCGGAGCGCAGCACAUGUCGCGCAAACGAGUGCCUUGGUACGGCGGCGUCCAUAAGCCCCUCUCUCACGCUCUUGACCUCGGAUCAGGUAGGGAUACCCGCUGAACUUAAGC